rnacentral:tRNA from 1 species
CAGGUUGUAGUUUAUAAAAAAUUAAAGCUUUGGGAGCGUUAGAUCUCGUGUUCGGGUAACCUGA